GCGUGAAUGAAGAAGGCCUUAGGGUUGUAAAGUUCUUUUAGCGGGGAAGAUAAUGACGGUACCCGCAGAAAAAGCCCCGGCUAACUCCGUGCCAGCAGCCGCGGUAAUACGGAGGGGGCUAGCGUUGUUCGGAAUUACUGGGCGUAAAGCGCACGUAGGCGGUUUGGAAAGUUGGGGGUGAAAGCCCGGAGCCUAACUCCGGAAUUGCCUUCAAAACUCCCAAACUAGAGAUCGGAAGAGGAGAGUGGAAUUCCCAGUGUAGAGGUGAAAUUCGU
rnacentral:rRNA from 1 species